ACUCUUACCAAGCUCAGAACAGCUCAAGAUUUUAGGAAAUCAAGUGAAUUGCUGGCAAUGCUUCACAAGCAGAGGAAGGAGGAAAGAGACAGAGAUGUAGAAAAGAGGCUCAAAGGCUGCUCUCAUCAGGAGCACCUUGGUAGAGACCCUGAUGUCAGACCCACUCUGGAUGCUUCCGAAUUCCCUAAUAAGGAAGCUCAGAGAGGUGGUGGAGACUGCCCUAGGCCAGAGUUCGGCCACUUUUGUCAGACUCCACAGUGCAGCAAGCUGCUUGUUUCCAAAUUUCUGCUCUCUUAUGGUUACAACACCCCGAUUUUGUUUUUUUAAGGCAUCUUGAAUUUAUUCAGCACAACCACAGAGGUAUUGUCUUCAUGAUGUCACAUACAGACACACACACAGAUACAACACAAUAUUUAUAUUUAGCUCAAGUGUAUUGCGUCUAAGGCUCACUUAUAUGUCUUCAUGUGCCACAGCCCGUCAUUUAGAUAAUGGAUAUUCUCAAUGCCGAUCCCCUUGUUGAUCUUCUCAAUGUCUGCUGCUGCCAUCUUCAUGACUCCGACACACAGGGCAUGCUCUUUCCCUUCUGCCAUGACCGCCACGAUGGUAUCUACUGCAGCAGUGUAGAGCUUCGCUCCAGGAGAUGUUAAACCCGGACACAUGAUAUUUGCACCACUGAGCACAAAUUUGAUGGCUCCUUUGUCGACCUGCUGGUGUGGCAGGAUAAACGGGUAUUUGUGAAGUAAUCUUAGCGUUGGAUAAAAAGGUCCUUUUCUCUGCCUGAAAAACAGUAAUUCUCCGUUGACUGUAAGGAUUUCCAUGUGUUCAUGGCAUCUCACUAUUUUGACGGGAUCUUUCUUAGGCAUGAUUUGAUUAAGCCACGGCUCGAUACCUGGAAACUGCUCAGUCAGUUGGCUCUUAAUACCCUUAAUAACGGAAGUUUUCAGUUGGAUGCAGUUGGACACACUUUCUUUCUCGUCAAAUUUCUUGAACAUGA
rnacentral:lncRNA from 1 species